rnacentral:siRNA from 1 species
UAGGAUGGGUGACCUCCCGGG